GAUGAACGCUGGCGGCGUGCCUAAUACAUGCAAGUCGAGCGAACAGACGAGGAGCUUGCUCCUCUGACGUUAGCGGUGGACGGGUGAGUAACACGUGGAUAACCUACCUAUAAGACUUGGAUAACUUCGGGAAACCGGAGCUAAUACCGGAUAACAUGUUGAACCGCAUGGUUCAACAGUGAAAGACGGUCUUGCUGUCACUUAUAGAUGGAUCCGCGCCGCAUUAGCUAGUUGGUAAGGUAACGGCUUACCAAGGCAACGAUGCGUAGCCGACCUGAGAGGGUGAUCGGCCACACUGGAACUGAGACACGGUCCAGACUCCUACGGGAGGCAGCAGUAGGGAAUCUUCCGCAAUGGGCGAAAGCCUGACGGAGCAACGCCGCGUGAGUGAAGAAGGUCUUCGGAUCGUAAAACUCUGUUAUUAGGGAAGAACAAAUGUGUAAGUAACUAUGCACGUCUUGACGGUACCUAAUCAGAAAGCCACGGCUAACUACGUG
rnacentral:rRNA from 1 species